CACGUAGGGGGCAAGCGUUGUCCGGAUUUAUUGGGCGUAAAGAGCUCGUAGGCGGUUCGCUAAGUCGGGUGUGAAACCUCCAGGCUCAACCUGGAGACGCCACCUGAUACUGGUGUGACUCGAGUCCGGUAGGGGAGCGUGGAAUUCCUGGUGUAGCGGUGAAAUGCGCAGAUAUCAGGAGGAACACCAGCGGCGAAGGCGGCGCUCUGGGCCGGAACUGACGCUGAGGAGCGAAAGCCAGGGGAGCAAACGGG
rnacentral:rRNA from 1 species